CUCAUCGUUGGCGAUUUCAACAUCAUCUACGAGGUUAGAGACAAGAACAAUCACAACCUAAAUAGAAGGCUAAUGGGUUGUUUUAGGACUACAAUUGACAGCGCCGGGCUGCGCCAAAUCAAGUGUAGCAAUCAUAGGUUUACAUGGAGCAAUGAGCAGGAAAACCCCACACUAGUGAGUAUAGAUAAGUUCUUCUGCAACAUCCACUAG
rnacentral:rRNA from 1 species